UUAAAUUUUAAAGUGUUUUAAUAAGUUUACCCAAUAUUUCAAUAAUUUUUACUACUACAACUAAAUUGACCUUUUAAACUACAUACGAUCAUAUAUAUAGAUCUACUUUGCACAAAUUCAGUUGAUUUCAUAUAAACGGAUAUGAAAUUGAAAUUGCACAACUAAUGGCUAAUAUCUAACAAUAUUUUACACAUAUUUUUCUUUAUAUCAUUAUUAAUAUAUCUUUUUGCUCGCCUGCUCAAGGGAGCGGUCAUUAUUUAUGGCGGGAGGGGCGGGGGCGAGGCGAGGCACCGAAGAGAAAAGGGUUGGGUAAACAAAAUUUUGAGUGAGUAAAAGGUUGGGUAAAUUAUGAAAAACAAAACAACUCAAGGGUUGGGUAAUAAAAAUUUAUUGUCAUUUCCAAAGCACGACUCACUCAUAAAUUGAAGACUGAACAGUCCUAUAUGUCAAUACAAUAUGUGAAUCAAUCAGAGUCACUAUCUCGAUCAUCAGUUCGAUUUGUCAGGAGGCAAAUGGUGUCUCCAAAGAAAGUACAUGUGCAGACAACAUGAAACUUUAGACUGCAGAAAAUUGCACAAGCAGUUAUCAAACUCAUGUCACAGAAGUGGUAAAGGACAUGUGUGACAGCUGAAUGGUAUACUUUUCGGUAAAGCUAUUGGCCAGGAGUGGGUAUUUAUUUUUUAAUUGAUAUUUGAGGUUGGGUGGAUGGAUCAGCAUUUGUCUUCGGUGCCAUCCCCCGCCAUAUAAAUAAUGACCGCUCCCUAUAUAAACGGACCGGCUCAAAUUUAAUCCUAAAUCGCCUCGUUUUAAACACAAUCUAGGAACCAUUGCAAGUGUUUUUCAAAUCACCAUAACAAAUAAAUCCACCAGUUCUCAUUAGUAUAUAAAGUUAAUACAAAAAAAGUCGUACUUUGCAAACCUUAAACUCUACGGCCUUAAACAUUCAACUCUAAGCGUGCAAAGCAUUAUGGGAGCAGCAUUUAAUCAGUUUAGAAAUCGUAUAGCUAUGGGGUCCAUUUCUUAGAGACGUGCUAUAAACAUCUCCUUACGAGAACAAUUCAUUCACAAAUAUAGCUGCAAUAUUCAACUAUACUAAGCUUGAAACUUGUGCUCUCGUUAAACUUCGCACGCUCAGAAUCUAAGGUUUAAAGAUGCGGUACAGUCCGAUCUGCGCAUGUGCACAAAGGAGCCCUCUUUUUAUUUACAAACAGUUUAUUUAGGUUUUUAUUUCAUUUUAUGUUCUUGCAAAGCUUGAUUGUUGUGUCUUGAUAAUUUAUUAUACUCUAGAAUCAUGAAAAUAUAAAUAGUUGUCGAAUAAAAUUCAAUAUUUUGGAUACCGAAAUGUAAACAAAGCCUUUGUUUACAUACGGACUCUACCGCAUCUUUAAGGUUUGCAAAUGACAACCUGUUUUGAAUUGGCUGUAUGACAUGCAUUCAUUUAAUUAAUUAAACCGGACCCUUUCUCGCAUGUUUAAAACGCGCGUUUGCAACUAAAUUUAACACGAAAGUUUGAAUGUAUACUUUCUUUCGUAGUAAAUGUUCCUCGUGUCUUAUGUGUCCAAUUUCUUUUGCAGCUCAGCGAAGUAUCGAUCCAAAAGCGACAGAUGGUUGAGGAUAUUUUUGCGACCAAAUUUCCGAGACGCGGAGUCGAAUUUCUGCAUGUCCGGAUCCUCAGCGCAAGAUGAUGUCACGUCGUAGAAAUCCUUGAGUAGACAUCUAGAGAAUGAAAAUCUCCGUUUAGAUAGUUGCAUAUAUAAUGAAAAUAUUUAUAGUUAGCCUUUCCUUUGUGUGGUAACACUGGAUCAAUAAGAGAUGAUCCUUACUCGACCUCUAGGAGGAACAGUUUAGAACUGAUAGUGCUAUCCAGUAUAAAUAAAGUUAGUUUAGUUUAGGUUUCC
rnacentral:lncRNA from 1 species